rnacentral:rRNA from 1 species
CGGGGAGCUAUAAUGCAAGUCGAACGAGGUUUGGUCAGUUUGCGGUGGUGCUUGCAUCACCAAUUACCGAUCAAACCGAGUGGCGGACGGGUGAGUAACACGUGGGUAACCUGCCCUUCAGCAGGGGAUAACAUUUGGAAACAGAUGCUAAUACCGUAUAACCACGGAGACCGCAUGGUCUCCGGGUAAAAGAUGGCGCAAGCUAUCACUGAAGGAUGGACCCGCGGCGUAUUAGCCAGUUGGUGGGGUAACGGCCUACCAAAGCGAUGAUACGUAGCCGACCUGAGAGGGUAAUCGGCCACAUUGGGACUGAGACACGGCCCAAACUCCUACGGGAGGCAGCAGUAGGGAAUCUUCCACAAUGGACGCAAGUCUGAUGGAGCAACGCCGCGUGAGUGAAGAAGGCUUUCGGGUCGUAAAACUCUGUUAUUGAAGAAGAACGUGUGUGACAGUAACUGGUCAUGCAGUGACGGUAUUCAAUCAGAAAGUCACGGCUAACUACGUGCCAGCAGCCGCGGUAAUACGUAGGUGGCAAGCGUUGUCCGGAUUUAUUGGGCGUAAAGCGAGUGCAGGCGGUCUUUUAAGUCUGAUGUGAAAGCCUUCGGCUUAACCGAAGAAGGGCAUCGGAAACUGGGAGACUUGAGUGCAGAAGAGGAGAGUGGAACUCCAUGUGUAGCGGUGAAAUGCGUAGAUAUAUGGAAGAACACCAGUGGCGAAGGCGGCUCUCUGGUCUGUAACUGACGCUGAGGCUCGAAAGCGUGGGUAGCAAACAGGAUUAGAUACCCUGGUAGUCCACGCCGUAAACGAUGAAUACUAAGUGUUGGAGGGUUUCCGCCCUUCAGUGCUGCAGCUAACGCAUUAAGUAUUCCGCCUGGGGAGUACGACCGCAAGGUUGAAACUCAAAGGAAUUGACGGGGGCCCGCACAAGCGGUGGAGCAUGUGGUUUAA